rnacentral:piRNA from 1 species
UAUGAAGAGGGAAUGCCAGUACAACA